AGAGUUUGAUCCUGGCUCAGAACGAACGCUGGCGGCGUGCCUAACACAUGCAAGUCGUACGAGAAAAUCCGCUUCGGCGGGUGAGUAAAGUGGCGCACGGGUGAGUAACGCGUGGAUAAUCUGCCUUUAAGCGGGGAAUAACUUACCGAAAGGUGGGCUAAUACCCCAUAAAGCUAUGGAGCUCCGGUUUUCAUAGCCAAAGAGAGCCUCUGCAUGCAAGCCCUCACUUAGAGACGAGUCCGCGUACCAUUAGCUAGUUGGUGGGGUAAUGGCCUACCAAGGCGACGAUGGUUAGCUGGUCUGAGAGGAUGAUCAGCCACACUGGAACUGAGACACGGUCCAGACUCCUACGGGAGGCAGCAGUGAGGAAUAUUGCGCAAUGGGGGCAACCCUGACGCAGCAACGCCGCGUGAGUGAGGAAGGUUUUCGGAUCGUAAAGCUCUGUCGGGUGGGAAGAAAUGUAUGGAGGUUAACAGCCUUUGUACUUGACGGUACCGCCAAAGGAAGCACCGGCUAACUCCGUGCCAGCAGCCGCGGUAAUACGGGGGGUGCUAGCGUUGUUCGGAAUCAUUGGGCGUAAAGAGCGUGUAGGCGGCUAGGCAAGUCAGAUGUGAAAUCCCUGGGCUUAACCCAGGACGUGCAUUUGAAACUGCUUGGCUUGAGUAGGGAAGAGGGAAGUGGAAUUCCCGGUGUAGAGGUGAAAUUCGUAGAUAUCGGGAGGAACACCAGUGGCGAAGGCGGUUUCCUGGCCUGAUACUGACGCUGAGGCGCGAAAGCGUGGGAAGCAAACAGGAUUAGAUACCCUGGUAGUCCACGCGGUAAACGGUGAA
rnacentral:rRNA from 1 species